GCGCUAGCCUGACAGCCAAGUAGCGUGAAGGAUGAAGGCUCUAUGGGUCGUAAACUUCUUUUAUAUAAGAAUAAAGUGCAGUAUGUAUACUGUUUUGUAUGUAUUAUAUGAAUAAGGAUCGGCUAACUCCGUGCCAGCAGCCGCGGUAAUACGGAGGAUCCGAGCGUUAUCCGGAUUUAUUGGGUUUAAAGGGAGCGUAGGUGGACUGGUAAGUCAGUUGUGAAAGUUUGCGGCUCAACCGUAAAAUUGCAGUUGAUACUGUCAGUCUUGAGUACAGUAGAGGUGGGCGGAAUUCGUGGUGUAGCGGUGAAAUGCUUAGAUAUCACGAAGAACUCCGAUUGCGAAGGCAGCUCACUGGACUGCAACUGACACUGAUGCUCGAAAGUGUGGGUAUCAAACAGGAUUAGAUACC
rnacentral:rRNA from 1 species